GACGAACGCUGGCGGCGUGCUUAACACAUGCAAGUCGGACGGUCGGCACUGGAAGGUUCGCUGGAAGGUGCCGGUAGUGGCGGACGGGUGAGUAACGCGUGAGGACAUGGCUCCAGGAGGGGGAUAACGUUUGGAAACGGACGCUAAGACCCCAUAAGCCGGGAGGUGAAAAUGGCGCAAGCCAGCCUGGAGAGUGACUCGCGUCCUAUCAGCUGGUUGGUGGGGUGACGGCCCACCAAGGCGAUGACGGGUAGCCGACCUGAGAGGACGACCAGCCACACUGGGACUGAGACACGGCCCAGACUCCUACGGGAGGCAGCAGUGGGGAAUAUUGGGCAAUGGGCGAAAGCCUGACCCAGCGACGCCGCGUGGGUGAUGAAGGCC
rnacentral:rRNA from 1 species